GGGACGCUGCACUCCGGCAUUGGUGUGCCCCUCCCUGGCUCCCUGGUGACCAGUGUGGUGGGCUGUGGCUGGCUGGGCCGCCCUGCCGUGCUCUCUUCCCUAGCCCCCUUCCAGCUAGAGGUGUCCAGCGACCCAGGCCUGGCCAAUGAGAGGGCACAGCUGGGGUGCCUGGAGGUCCAGCUCCCAUCUUGAGACCAUGAGGGGACAAGCAUGAUGGUGACAACGUGCAGAGGAUGGUGGUGCAGAGAGGACAGGCAGCGCCUGGUUCCCUGGUGACAUCUCUGGGCAACUUCACCUGCCCUGGACCACCUGCUUCCGACAGCCUGUCCUGUGACCCAUUUCAUAUGCCAUACAGUGACCAUGACAAUGGCCAGAAGAAGGGGAAGGUGGAAUUGGCAGGUUAAAUCCUCUGGUCAAUCCUAAGUGCAGAGGAGCUAAUGGACCAUCUAAAAACUCUGAGAAAAAGGUGAUGCUAUUCCUUCAAAGCUCCCCUUAAAGAGAACCAGCCAUCAAGAAACUCUCAAAGUUCCCUUCCCCUCAAGCCACCUAAAUACAUGCUGCCCUUGACUUCUGUAUCCUCGUCUUUGAACACAUCGAUGCCUCUAAAAUGCUGAUGAAGAAAUGUUCUGAGACGCCACAGGUGGCUGCCAGCUGGAUUUUUGUCUUGGCCAUGUCACCACAUUUGUCUUUACAGCAAUGCCUGUGCAAUCUUUUAAAUAUUUUUCUUAUACACUCUCAUUUUAUAACUCUGAGUGGAAAACAGAGGUUCAGGUUUCUUAAGUGUAAUGCAAUAUACUCAAGGCUAUUAAGUGUUUAGCCUCAACAGAAUAUUUCUUGGUCUUAAGUCAGUCAAUUAAAUAAUUAGGAAGGAAAAGAACAAAAUCAUAAAAUAUGCUCAAUAAAGAUGGUUUCUAAAAUA